CCUACGGGAGGCAGCAGUGGGGAAUAUUGCGCAAUGGGGGAAACCCUGACGCAGCAACGCCGCGUGGAGGAUGAAUGCCUUCGGGUUGUAAACUCCUGUCUUCAGGGACGAAACAUGACGGUACCUGAGGAGGAAGCCACGGCUAACUACGUGCCAGCAGCCGCGGUAAU
rnacentral:rRNA from 1 species